rnacentral:rRNA from 1 species
CCUACGGGGGGCAGCAGUGAGGAAUAUUGGUCAAUGGACGAGAGUCUGAACCAGCCAAGUAGCGUGAAGGAUGACUGCCCUAUGGGUUGUAAACUUCUUUUAUAGGGGAAUAAAACGUUCCACGUGUGGGAUUUUGUAUGUACCAUAUGAAUAAGGAUCGGCUAACUCCGUGCCAGCAGCCGCGGUAAUACGGAGGAUCCGAGCGUGAUCCGGAUUUAUUGGGUUUAAGGGAGCGUAGGUGGAUUGUUAAGUCAGUUGGGAAAGUUUGCGGCUCACCCGUAAAAUUGCAGUUGAAACUGGCAGUCUUGCUUACAGUAUAGGUGGGCGGCAUUCGUGGUGUAGC